CCUACGGGAGGCAGCAGUGGGGAAUAUUGCACAAUGGGGGAAACUCUGAUGCAGCGACGCCGCGUGAGUGAAGAAGUACUUCGGUAUGUAAAGCUCUAUCAGCAUGGAAGAAAAUGACGGUACCUGAGUAAGAAGCCCCGGCUAACUACGUUCCAGCAGCCGCGGUAAUACGGAGGGGGCAAGCGUUAUCCGGAUUUACUGGGUGUAAAGGGAGCGUAGACGGCAGUGCAAGUCUGGAGUGAAAGGCUGGGGCUCAACCCCCGGACUGCACUGGAAACUGUACGUCUGGAGUGCAGGAGAGGUAAGUGGAAUUCCUGGUGUAGCGGUGAAAUGCGUAGAUAUUAGGAGGAACACCAGUGGCGAAGGCGGCUUACUGGACUGUAACUGACGCUGAGGCUCGAAAGCGUGGGGAGCAAACAGGAUUAGAUACCCCUGUAGUC
rnacentral:rRNA from 1 species